rnacentral:rRNA from 1 species
UACUGGGCGUAAAGCGCGCGUAGGCGGUUGAUAAGCGAGAUGUGAAAGCCCGGGCUCAACCUGGGAACGGCAUCCGGAACUGUCAGGCUAGAGUGCAGGAGAGGAAGGUAGAAUUCCCGGUGUAGCGGUGAAAUGCGUAGAGAUCGGGAGGAAUACCAGUGGCGAAGGCGGCCUUCUGGACUGACACUGACACUGAGGUGCGAAAGCGUGGGUAGCAAACAGGAUUAGAUACCCUGGUAGUCCACGCCGUAACCGAUGUCGACCAGCCGUUGGGUGCCUAGAGCACUUUGUGGCGAAGUUAACGCGAUAAGUCGACCGCCUGGGGAGUACGGCCGCAAGGUUAAAACUCAAAUGAAUUGACGGGGGCCCGCACAAGCGGUGGAGCAUGUGAUUUAAUUCGAUGCAACGCGAAGAACCUUACCUACCCUUGACAUCUACAGAAGCCGGAAGAGAUUCUGGUGUGCCUUCGGGAACUGUAAGACAGGUGCUGCAUGGCUGUCGUCAGCUCGUGUUGUGAAAUGUUGGGUUAAGUCCCGUAACGAGCGCAACCCUUGUCCUUAUUUGCCAGCGAGUAAUGUCGGGAACUCUAAGGAGACUGCCGGUGACAAACCGGAGGAAGGUGGGGACGACGUCAAGUCAUCAUGGCCCUUACGGGUAGGGCUACACACGUGCUACAAUGGCCGGUACAAAGGGCUGCGAGCUCGCGAGAGUCAGCGAAUCCCUUAAAGCCGGCCUCAGUCCGGAUCGGAGUCUGCAACUCGACUCCGUGAAGUCGGAAUCGCUAGUAAUCGUGAAUCAGAAUGUCACGGUGAAUACGUUCCCGGGCCUUGUACACACCGCCCGUCACACCAUGGGAGUGGACUGCACCAGAAGUGGUUAGCCUAACGCAAGAGGGCGAUCACCACGGUGUGGUUCAUGACUGGGGUGAAGUCGUAACAAGGUAGCCGUAANUUCNG